rnacentral:snRNA from 1 species
UCUGUCGCUAGACUCAGCCAUAUU